rnacentral:rRNA from 1 species
GCCAAUUGGGGCGUGCUAUACAUGCAAGUCGAACGAACUCUGGUAUUGAUUGGUGCUUGCAUCAUGAUUUACAUUUGAGUGAGUGGCGAACUGGUGAGUAACACGUGGGAAACCUGCCCAGAAGCGGGGGAUAACACCUGGAAACAGAUGCUAAUACCGCAUAACAACUUGGACCGCAUGGUCCGAGUUUGAAAGAUGGCUUCGGCUAUCACUUUUGGAUGGUCCCGCGGCGUAUUAGCUAGAUGGUGGGGUAACGGCUCACCAUGGCAAUGAUACGUAGCCGACCUGAGAGGGUAAUCGGCCACAUUGGGACUGAGACACGGCCCAAACUCCUACGGGAGGCAGCAGUAGGGAAUCUUCCACAAUGGACGAAAGUCUGAUGGAGCAACGCCGCGUGAGUGAAGAAGGGUUUCGGCUCGUAAAACUCUGUUGUUAAAGAAGAACAUAUCUGAGAGUAACUGUUCAGGUAUUGACGGUAUUUAACCAGAAAGCCACGGCUAACUACGUGCCAGCAGCCGCGGUAAUACGUAGGUGGCAAGCGUUGUCCGGAUUUAUUGGGCGUAAAGCGAGCGCAGGCGGUUUUUUAAGUCUGAUGUGAAAGCCUUCGGCUCAACCGAAGAAGUGCAUCGGAAACUGGGAAACUUGAGUGCAGAAGAGGACAGUGGAACUCCAUGUGUAGCGGUGAAAUGCGUAGAUAUAUGGAAGAACACCAGUGGCGAAGGCGGCUGUCUGGUCUGUAACUGACGCUGAGGCUCGAAAGUAUGGGUAGCAAACAGGAUUAGAUACCCUGGUAGUCCAUACCGUAAACGAUGAAUGCUAAGUGUUGGAGGGUUUCCGCCCUUCAGUGCUGCAGCUAACGCAUUAAGCAUUCCGCCUGGGGAGUACGGCCGCAAGGCUGAAACUCAAAGGAAUUGACGGGGGCCCGCACAAGCGGUGGAGCAUGUGGUUUAAUUCGAAGCUACGCGAAGAACCUUACCAGGUCUUGACAUACUAUGCAAAUCUAAGAGAUUAGACGUUCCCUUCGGGGACAUGGAUACAGGUGGUGCAUGGUUGUCGUCAGCUCGUGUCGUGAGAUGUUGGGUUAAGUCCCGCAACGAGCGCAACCCUUAUUAUCAGUUGCCAGCAUUAAGUUGGGCACUCUGGUGAGACUGCCGGUGACAAACCGGAGGAAGGUGGGGAUGACGUCAAAUCAUCAUGCCCCUUAUGACCUGGGCUACACACGUGCUACAAUGGAUGGUACAACGAGUUGCGAACUCGCGAGAGUAAGCUAAUCUCUUAAAGCCAUUCUCAGUUCGGAUUGUAGGCUGCAACUCGCCUACAUGAAGUCGGAAUCGCUAGUAAUCGCGGAUCAGCAUGCCGCGGUGAAUACGUUCCCGGGCCUUGUACACACCGCCCGUCACACCAUGAGAGUUUGUAACACCCAAAGUCGGUGGGGUAACCUUUUAGGAACCAGCCGCCUAAAGGUGA